AUAGAUACCUGGCAGGGGAGAUACCAAGAUCACGAAGGUGGUUUUCCCAGGGGCCAGGCUUAUCCAUUGCACUUCGGAUGUGCUAACCCCUGCGAUUUCCUCAAAUGUGGGAAACUCGACUGCAUAAUUUGUGGUAGUGGGUGACUGCAUUUGUGCUUUCCGUA